CUGAACCUCUGUUCUUCCUUGGGGCACAAGGCCACGUCUGGGAUGCUAUUUGCACAAAUUUGAAUGAAAUAAGCACUGAAAGGUCUGAAAAUUGCUGAUUCUGAUGGAGGCUGCAAAAACAGUAUUUUACUUUUCAUUGUUUGAGGAUUCACAAUGCUGAAGACAUUCAAGGGAAAAAAAUAUGUAAAGCAUAUGGCUUAACUGUAAAUUCAGGUUAAUAAGGAUUUAAGACAGAACAGAAAAUAGAUACAGCAGGUUGCUAAACCCUUACUGGAAUCCAGCUUGCCUGACCAAUUGUUCAAGUGACAGUAGAAUGGAAGAGCACUUAGAAAACCACAGGCUAGCACUGGACAACUGUUGCUUGGGAGCUGAAGUAGAAAACAGACUCUAAUUAGCUCUGUAGUUUCUCAACCUUUUCCCCAUGGCAACUGAGAAAGUUAUGCUCAGACAUAAGUCUGCUUCUUGACAGAGAAUAACUAACUUCUUCCUCACCUGUGUAGUAAGACAGUAUGUUGUCCCUGUAACAGGUGAGAUCAGGGAUGGAGACACUGGUUAUAACUUGCUGUGAAAUAUUUAAGGACAAUGAUUUUCUAUACACUAUUGCCAGUUUUUUUCACUAUUCAGUUAAUUAAUAAAGUAAAUGGAUAAUCAGGGUUCA